AGGAAGAUCCUAUGGACAUGGAGCCAAUAGGAAUGUCCAAUGUUAUAAUUGCAAUAAUUUUGGACACUACGCCUCCGAUUGUCGGUCCAAAAUUGAUGAACAAGCCAAUGUUGCAGAGGCAUCACAUGAUGUAGGUAAUGAAUCUAUCCUACUUCUUGCACAUGAUGAUUCACAUACUUCAUAUGAAAAUUGGUAUCUUGAUUCUGGGGCAAGUAAUCAUAUGUGUGGCAAGAAAGAUUUGUUUGUAGAACUCACGAAAGAAGUCCACGGAAAGGUGAACUUGGGAGAUUCCUCCAAACUAUCAGUUGAAGGCAAAGGAAAAAUAAAAAUCUAUUAGAAAAAAGGUAAGAAUGGGUAUAUCUCUGAUGUGUAUUAUGUACCUAAUAUGAAAAGCAAUAUUCUUAGCAUUGGACAGCUUGUAGAAAAGGGAUAUAACAUACAAAUGAGAGACAACUCUCUCAUUUUNNNNNNNNNNNNNNNNNNNNACACAUACUUCAUAUGAAAAUUGGUAUCUUGAUUCUGGGGCAAGUAAUCAUAUGUGUGGCAAGAAAGAAUUGUUUGUAGAACUCACUAAAGAUGUCCACGGAAAGGUGAACUUGGGAGAUUCCUCCAAACUAUCAGUUGAAGGCAAAGGAAAAAUAAAAAUCUAUCAGAAGGAUGGUAAGAAUGGGUAUAUUUCUGAUGUGUAUUAUAUACCUAAUAUGAAAAGCAAUAUUCUUAGCAUUGGACAGCUUGUAGAAAAGGGAUAUAAUAUACAAAUGAGAGACAACUCUCUCAUUUUGAAAGAUACAAGUGG
rnacentral:lncRNA from 1 species